rnacentral:lncRNA from 1 species
GCUGUAAUCCUGAAACAGAGAUUUACAUAACUCCAGCCCAACCCGCUGCUGCGGCAGGUGUGGCUCACAGUGUGCUGGGUUAGUUCUGCUGGCAGUAUCUACACACAACAGCUCUUAUUUCAAAAGGAAUACCAGCAUUCAUUCUGGAGUAAAACAUGGGGCUUUCGGUUCCUCAAAUCCCAUUGGUCCAUACGCUCUGUUGUCUUCUGCCUUGAGUUCUCCCUGGCAAGGAGCAGGAACCACCACACACUGCCUCCAGGAAGUUCUCUGUGACUGUAGUCACAGGAAGCACUGAAGAGCGGCCUGCCUUCAGGACUUGAGGGUCCUGAAAUUUUUAAACCUGUAUUUACUACAGGACUAAAAGAUUUUUAUGAUGGACAAUAUCUCUGUAAAAGCAGAGCCUCAGGUAAACUGGAUUGUCUUGUUUCUGUACAUAUAUGUGUGAGUGUACAAUGAUAUAUGUGU